rnacentral:rRNA from 1 species
AGAGUUUGAUCAUGGCUCAGAUUGAACGCUGGCGGCAUGCUUAAUACAUGCAAGUCGAACGGUAACAGAUUCUUCGGAAUGCUGACGAGUGGCGGACGGGUGAGUAAUACAUAGGAAUCUGACCAUGUAGUGGGGGACAACUUGGGGAAACUCAAGCUAAUACCGCAUAAUUCCUACGGGAUAAAGAGGGCCACUGCUUGCAAGCUCUUGCUACUGGAUGAGCCUAUGUCGGAUUAGUUAGUUGGUAAGGUAAUGGCUUACCAAGACAGCGAUCUGUAGCUGGUUUGAGAGGAUGAUCAGCCACACUGGGACUGAGACACGGCCCAGACUCCUACGGGAGGCAGCAGUAGGGAGUAUUGGACAAUGGGCGCAAGCCUGAUCCAGCAAUGCCGCGUGUGUGAAGAAGGCCUGCGGGUUGUAAAGCACUUUCAAUUGGGAAGAAAGAUUAUGAGUUAAUACCUUAUAAUAUUGACG